rnacentral:ncRNA from 1 species
CCAAUUGUGAAGUUGGGACUAAAGGAAGCGGGACUACAAAUUCUGAUACUGACGAACAGGAAUCGGAUAUGAGGCUACAAGGUUGGAUGAGCAAGCACAUCAUUGUGAUGUCCAAAACAUUUCUUUCGAAAUUAAAACCGAAGUAGUAGAUCCGACAGGCAUCAGGAGAAAGAAGAUGUU